AAUUAUUGGGCGUAAAGAGCUCGUAGGUGGUUGGUCACGUCUGCUGUGGAAACGCAACGCUUAACGUUGCGCGUGCAGUGGGUACGGGCUGACUAGAGUGCAGUAGGGGAGUCUGGAAUUCCUGGUGUAGCGGUGAAAUGCGCAGAUAUCAGGAGGAACACCGGUGGCGAAGGCGGGACUCUGGGCUGUAACUGACACUGAGGAGCGAAAGCAUGGGGAGCGAACAGGAUUAGAUACCCUGGUAGUCCAUGCCGUAAACGUUGGGCACUAGGUGUGGGGGACAUUCCACGUUCUCCGCGCCGUAGCUAACGCAUUAAGUGCCCCGCCUGGGGAGUACGGUCGCAAGGCUAAAACUCAAAGGAAUUGACGGGGGCCCGCACAAGCGGCGGAGCAUGCGGAUUAAUUCGAUGCAACGCGAAGAACCUUACCAAGGCUUGACAUACACCAGACCGGGCUGGAAACAGUCCUUCCCCUUUGGGGUUGGUGUACAGGUGGUGCAUGGUUGUCGUCAGCUCGUGUCGUGAGAUGUUGGGUUAAGUCCCGCAACGAGCGCAACCCUCGUUCUAUGUUGCCAGCACGUAAUGGUGGGAACUCAUAGGAGACUGCCGGGGUCAACUCGGAGGAAGGUGGGGAUGACGUCAAAUCAUCAUGCCCUUUAUGUCUUGGGCUUCACGCAUGCUACAAUGGCUGGUACAGAGAGAUGCGAGACCGUGAGGUUUUAGCGAAUCCCUUAAAGCCAGUCUCAGUUCGGAUCGUAGUCUGCAAUUCGACUACG
rnacentral:rRNA from 1 species